UACGAAGGGUGCAAACGUUGCUCGGAAUUAUUGGGCGUAAAGCGCACGUAGGCGGCUUGGCAAGUCGGAUGUGAAAUCCCUCGGCUCAACCAAGGAAGUGCAUCCGAAACUGCCGAGCUUGAGUACUUAAGAGGAUCGCGGAAUUCCCGGUGUAGAGGUGAAAUUCGUAGAUAUCGGGAGGAACACCAGUGGCGAAGGCGGCGAUCUGGGAAGAUACUGACGCUGAGGUGCGAAAGCGUGGGGAGCAACAGG
rnacentral:rRNA from 1 species